UGGGGAAUUUUGGACAAUGGGCGAAAGCCUGAUCCAGCAAUGCCGCGUGUGUGAAGAAGGCCUUCGGGUUGUAAAGCACUUUUGUCCGGAAAGAAAUGGCUCUGGUUAAUACCUGGGGUCGAUGACGGUACCGGAAGAAUAAGGACCGGCUAACUACGUGCCAGCAGCCGCGGUAAUACGUAGGGUCCAAGCGUUAAUCGGAAUUACUGGGCGUAAAGCGUGCGCAGGCGGUUGUGCAAGACCGAUGUGAAAUCCCCGAGCUUAACUUGGGAAUUGCAUUGGUGACUGCACGGCUAGAGUGUGUCAGAGGGGGGUUAGAAUUCCACGUGUAGCAGUGAAAUGCGUAGAGAUGUGGAGGGAAUACCGAUGGGCGAAGGCAGCCCCCUGGGAAUAACACUGACGCUCAUGCACGAAAGCGUGGGGAGCAAACAGGAUUAGAUACCCUGGUAGUCCACGCCCUAAAGCGAUGUCAACUAGUUGUUGGGGAUUCAUUUCCUUAGUAACGUAGCUAACGCG
rnacentral:rRNA from 1 species